CUAAGUGAUCACCUCAGAUCAGACGAGACAACCCGCUGAAUUUAAGCAUAUUACUAAGCGGAGGAAAAGAAACUAACCAGGAUUCCCCCAGUAGCGGCGAGCGAAGAGGGAAGAGCCCAGCGCUGAAUCCCCGUCCUCUCCGGGCGCGGGAAUUGUAGCGUACGGAAGAGCGCGUUCUCCCGGUGCGGUCCGGGGGCCUGAGUCCUUCUGAUGGAGGCUCACCCAGGGACGGUGGCAGGCCGGUAAGCCCCCGCCCGCCGGGGUCCGCUCUUCCCGGAGUCGGGUUGCUUGGGAAUGCAGCCCAAAGCGGGUGGUAAACUCCAUCUAAGGCUAAAUACCGGCACGAGACCGAUAGUCAACAAGUACCGUAAG
rnacentral:rRNA from 1 species